AUUUAUUUUUUUCCGUUUCAGUCUUAGACUUUUUGUAUAAAUAGAAUCUUAUGUAACUCAAUCAAAUGUACUGAAAUAGAACAAUUUCCCACAAAAACUCUGUUUCAACAUGGUAUCAAAGCCAAUUUGAUUUUUCUGGGCAAAGUUGCAUAAAAUAGAGUUAGGGUUUCCUGGGGUUAAGCUUGUUGGCAAAACUACAGGCGGAGUUGAUAUACACCACUGCCCUCAAGAGGAAGCCCAACUAAAGUUCAGCCGUUCCCCGAAGUUUUAUCGUCG
rnacentral:misc_RNA from 1 species